CAGAAGUGUUGAAUUGAAAUCCGCAGAGCAUUUUUACAAGAGUUCUGACCUGGAUGGGGUAAACCUCAGUGCACUUUUCCGUUGCCUCAGUAUUACUGGAUUGAAGAAUUGCUGUUUCUUGUUAGGAGGUUCAUUUCAUUUACCAUUACUUCCAACUUCAUACUCAAAGCACUGAGAAUUUCAAGUGGAGUAUAUUGAAGUAGACUUCAGUUUCUUUGCAUCAUUUCUGUAUUCAAUUUUUUAAAUUCUUUCAUAACCCUAUUGAGUGUUUUUUAACUAAAUUAACAUGGCUCGAAUGAACUGCCCGACUCCUGUAGAAGUCACAUACAAGAACAUGAGAUUUCUUAUUACACACAAUCCAACCAAUGCGACCUUAAAUAAAUUUAUAGAGGAACUUAAGAAAUACGGAGUUACCACAAUAGUAAGAGUAUGUGAAGCAACUUAUGACACUACUCUUGUGGAGAAAGAAGGCAUCCAUGUUCUUGACUGGCCUUUUGAUGAUGGUACACCACCGUCUAACCAGAUUGUUGAUGACUGGUUAAGUCUUGUAAAAAUCAAGUUUCGUGAAGAACCUGGUUGUUGUAUUGCUGUUCAUUGUGUUGCAGGCCUUGGGAGAGCUCCAGUGCUUGUUGCUCUCGCAUUAAUCGAAGGUGGAAUGAAAUACGAAGAUGCAGGACAAUUCAUAAGACAAAAGUGGCAUGGAGCUUUUAGCAGCAAGCAACUUUUGUAUUUGGAGCAGUAUCGUCCUAAGAUGCGGCUGCGCUUCAAAGACUCCAGUGGUCGUAGAAACAACUGUUGCAUUCAAUAAAACUGGGGUGCCUAAUGUUACUGCCUUGGAAGGAAAAUUUGACACAGGACCUAAUAUGUCAUAUAUAUUAGCCAACAUGUUGGCUUGGUGAAUAAGUCUAAUGAAGCUUCCAUAAGAGUAUUGUAAAGCGGUUUUACCAGGCCACAACUUUAACAGAAUUGCAACUUAUGUGUCUGGGUUACGGUUAGCCUUUUUGGACACUUAGCAAAAGAUUCUUGCUGUUCAGCAUUUAAAAUGUGCUUAUCAUUUGUACCAAUUGACCUUUCCUGAAAUCAUGCGGUAUUGAGUUAUGUCUUGUUUAAAUCUAUUCCCAUGCCAGAAUCUUAUCAAUAUAUAAGAAAUUUAGAAAGAUUAGGUGCCAAAAUACCCAGCACAAUACUUGUAUAUUUUUAGCAUCAUACAGAACUAAAAUCCCAGGAACUAUGAACACUCUAGACCUUAUAUGGUUUAUCCAUUUCAGACAUUGAAAGUAGGGCCUACAUGGUUAUUUGUCUGCUCACUUUGUUUACAUCUCCCACAUUUAUACCAGUAUACAUCAGGUUUGCUUAACCAUUGAUUUUUUUUAUUCUUUUUACCAAGUCUUUCAGUGAUUAUUUAAUGUCUUUCUGUAAAUCUCAUUUUGUGCUGUUAUGAAAAACCUCCAUUUUAAAAAUCAACAUUGUACAGAAGCACAUGUCUUUAAUGUCUUCAGACGAAAACGCCUUACAGUUAAUUUAAUGUUUGCACUCUGAGGUGCAACUUAACAGGGAGGGCCUGAAAAAAGAAUGGGAGGGAGCUAUUCAAUAUUUUUAGCAAAAUGUUGCCUUUGUCUUGUGCAGAACAUGUAGAAAUAUGCUCUUUAAUUUAGUAAAUAUUUUUUAAAAGGUAGAGAUGCUUUGUUAAUUGUAGCUAAAACAAUUCUUAAUCAUAAAAUUUCUGAAAUUCUUGUAAUUUUUUUCCAUACUUAUCAGAAGUUGUUUAUCAACUUAUUUUUGUUUGAAGUGUGAUUUUUUUUUUCUGUUCCCAACCUCUCUUGCAAAAAAAAAAAGAAGUGGGUUUCUGCUAAUGAAUUGAGCAGACAUCUAAUAUUUUAUAUGCCUUUUGAGCUAUGUAACUUAAUAUUUGGAUACUUGAUAAUUUGUUUUAUUAUGUAAUUGAUAAAAUGGUGAUGUGUAUUAAUGUUAGUUCAACCAUAUAUUUAUACUGUCUGGGAAUGUGUGGUUAUAGUUCUGUGGAGAAAUAAUUUGUCAGUGUUCACCAGCUUGUAAAAACUUAGAGUGAGAGCUUAAACAUCUAAAUAAAUAAUGAAAUGCA